GACGAACGCUGGCGGCGUGCUUAACACAUGCAAGUCGAACGGAAAGGCCCUGCUUUUGUGGGGUGCUCGAGUGGCGAACGGGUGAGUAACACGUGAGUAACCUGCCCUUGACUUUGGGAUAACUUCAGGAAACUGGGGCUAAUACCGGAUAGGAGCUCCUGCUGCAUGGUGGGGGUUGGAAAGUUUCGGCGGUUGGGGAUGGACUCGCGGCUUAUCAGCUUGUUGGUGGGGUAGUUGCUUACCAAGGCUUUGACGGGUAGCCUGCCUGAGAGGGUGACCGGCCACAUUGGGACUGAGAUACGGACCAGAAUGCUACGGGAGGCAGUAGUGGGGAAUAUUGCACAACGGGCGGAAGCCUGAUGCAGAAACGCCGCGUGCGGGAUGACGGCCUUCGGGUUGUAAACCGCUGUCGCAUGUGACGAAGAGUGAGUGACGGUAAUGGGUAAAGAAGCAACGGCUAACUACGUG
rnacentral:rRNA from 1 species